UCGAGAAUCUUUCGCAAUGGGGGAAACCCUGACGACGCGACGCCGCGUGGAGGAUGAAGGCCUUCGGGUUGUAAACUCCUGUCAGCAGGGGAGAACAAGCUUUUGAUGAAUAAUCGAGAGCUCUGACAGUACCUGCAGAGGAAGCCACGGCUAACUCUGUGCCAGCAGCCGCGGUAAUACAGAGGUGGCAAGCGUUGUUCGGAUUUAUUGGGCGUAAAGGGUCCGUAGGCGGUUUGAGAAGUCGGAUGUUAAAU
rnacentral:rRNA from 1 species